rnacentral:rRNA from 1 species
UUCCGGUUGAUCCUGCCGGAGGCUACCGCUAUUGGAGUUCGGUUAAGCCAUGCGAGUCUAGAGGCCUAGCCUCGGCGUACCGCUCAGUAACACGUGGGUAACCUACCCUAUGCUGGGGAAUAAGCUCGGGAAACUGAGAAUAAUACCCCAUAGUCCACUACGCCUGGAACGGUGAGUGGAUCAAAGCUCCGGCGGCAUAGGAUGGGCCUGCGGCGUAUCAGGUUGUAGGGGGUGUAAUGUACCCUCUAGCCAUCCACGCGUACGGGUGUUGGGAGACAUUGCCCGGAGAUGGAUUCUGAGACACGAAUCCAGACCCUACGGGGUGCAGCAGGCGCGAAAACUUGGCAAUGCGAGAAAUCGUGACCAGGGAACUCCAAGUGGCAGGGGUAAGACCCUGUCUUUUUCCGACUCUAAAUAGGUCGGCGAAUAAGGGGUGGGUAAGGACGGUGCCAGCCGCCGCGGUAAUACCGGCGCCUCAAGUGGUAGUCGCUUUUAUUGGGCCUAAAACGUCCGUAGCCGGUCUGGUACAUUCGUGGGUAAAUCAACUCGCUCAACGAGUUGAAUUCUGCGAGGACGGCCAGACUUGGGACCGGGAGAGGUGUGGGGUACUCUCAGGGUAGGGGUAAAAUCCUGUCAUCCUGAGAGGACCACCUGUUGCGAAGGCUCCACACUAGAACGGAUCCGACGGUCAGGGACGAAGCCUAGGGGCACGAACCGGAUUAGAUACCCGGGUAGUCCUAGGUGUAAACGCUGUGGACUUGAUGUUGGGGACGCUCCGAGCGUUCUCAGUGUCGAAGCGAAGGUGAUAAGUCCACUGCCUGGGGAGUACGGUCGCAAGGCUGAAACUUAAAGGAAUUGGCGGGGGAGCACCGCAACCUGAGGAUUGUGCGGUUUAAUUGGAUCAACGCCGGA